rnacentral:rRNA from 1 species
CUAGCUGUAAACGAUGGAUACUAGGCGUUGAGAGUAUCGACCCUCUCAGUGUCGUAGCUAACGCGUUAAGUAUCCCGCCUGGGGAGUACGCGCGCAAGCGUGAAACUCAAAGGAAUUGACGGGGGCCCGCACAAGCGGUGGAGUAUGUGGUUUAAUUCGAUGCAACGCGGAGAACCUUACCAGGGCUUGACAUGUCCGGAACCCUGCCCAAAGGCGGGGGUGCCUACGGGAACCGGAACACAGGUGGUGC